rfam:Triticum urartu cultivar G1812 contig961942, whole genome shotgun sequence.
CUUGUACUCCCUCCGCCCAAAAAUACUUGUCAUUGAAAUGGAUGUAUCUAGAUGUAUUUUAGUUCUAGACACAUCCAUUUUGAUGACAAGUAAUUCCGGACGGAGGGAGUACUUG